GACGAACCGUGCGAACGUUGUUCGGAAUCACUGGGCAUAAAGGGCGCGUAGGCGGCUUAUCAAGUCAGGGGUGAAAUCCAGCAGCUCAACUGUCGAAGUGCCUUUGAUACUGAUGAGCUCGAGGGAGGUAGGGGUAUGCGGAACUUCCGGUGGAGCGGUGAAAUGCGUUGAUAUCGGAAGGAACGCCGGUGGCGAAAGCGGCGUACUGGACCUCUUCUGACGCUGAGGCGCGAAAGCCAGGGGAGCAAACGGG
rnacentral:rRNA from 1 species